ensembl:lncRNA
GCCCAGCCAGCCUCUGCUCCCUCUUCAAAGCUUCCAACACCUGUGAGGAGAGAGGCAGGAUCCAUGCCCAGCAGAAAUGGUUUAUAGAUUAUGAAGGAUCUUUUCUAUCAAAGAACUUUCUACUAGGGUUCCAUCCAAGUGGGAUUAUCCAGUGUUUGUGGCCCAGCUGCUAACCAGGCAUUGUGUGUGUCCCGCUUGAAAACCACAUCCGAGCCUGUUGUGAUGUACCAGCAAUCAAGUUGCAUAUUUGGCAGGCUGGCCAGUGCCUAGUCCUUAUUCCACCAGCUCUCUUGGAACAACCAGGACACUGAUUUACACACUCAAACAUGAAAUCAGGCUCCCUGGAGCACCCAAGACACAAAGCACUGGCAGCACUCAGAGGUGGCACCGAGGUAAUUUAACAACGUCAUCAAACCAUGAGUUAGAAUUUGAUUUAUAAUGAUGACUAACCCAAUAAAAUGGUAAAGCAAG